GACGGAGGAUGCAAGUGUUAUCCGGAAUCACUGGGCGUAAAGCGUCUGUAGGUGGUUUAAUAAGUCAACUGUUAAAUCUUGAGGCUCAACUUCAAAAUCGCAGUCGAAACUAUUAGACUAGAGUAUAGUAGGGGUAAAGGGAAUUUCCAGUGGAGCGGUGAAAUGCGUAGAGAUUGGAAAGAACACCAAUGGCGAAAGCACUUUACUGGGCUAUCACUGACACUGAGAGACGAAAGCUAGGGUAGCGAAUGGG
rnacentral:rRNA from 1 species